rnacentral:misc_RNA from 1 species
AAAUGUGAUCUCGGCUAUUACAGCCAGGAAGCUAAUUAGAAAGGGGUGUGAGGCAUUUUUGGCAAAUGUCAUAGACACUAGAAAGGAGGGUUUGAAUAUUCAGGAUAUUCCUAUAGUCAAUGAAUUUCAGGAUGUAUUUUCUGAAGAAUUACCUGGGUUAUCACCAGACAGGGAGGUAGAAUUCUUAAUUAAUGUGCUCCCUGGUACUGCACCAAUAUCAAU